CCUACGGGCGGCAGCAGUCGAGAAUCAUUCACAAUGGGGGAAACCCUGAUGGUGCGACGCCGCGUGGGGGAAUGAAGGUCUUCGGAUUGUAAACCUCUGUCAUGUGGGAGCAAAUUAAAAAGAUAGUACCACAAGAGGAAGAGACGGCUAAAUAGGUGCCAGCAGCCGCGGGAAUACAGAGGUCUGAAGCGGUGUUCGGAAUCACUGGGCGUAAAGCGUGCGUAGGCUGGUUCGUAAGGCGAGUGUGAAAGGCGCGGGCUCAACCCGCGGACGGCACAUGAUACUGGGAGACUAGAGUAAUGGAGGGGGAAGCGGAAUGCUCGGUGUAGCAGUGAAAUGCGUAGAUAUCGAGAGGAACACUCGUUGCGAAGGCGGGUUCCUGGACAUUAACUGACGCUGAGGCACGAAGGCCAGGGGAGCGAAAGGGAUUAGAUACCCCUGUAGUC
rnacentral:rRNA from 1 species